rnacentral:rRNA from 1 species
UGGGGAAUUUUGGACAAUGGGCGAAAGCCUGAUCCAGCAAUGCCGCGUGUGUGAAGAAGGCCUUCGGGUUGUAAAGCACUUUUGUCCGGAAAGAAAUCCUUGGCUCUAAUACAGUCGGGGGAUGACGGUACCGGAAGAAUAAGCACCGGCUAACUACGUGCCAGCAGCCGCGGUAAUACGUAGGGUGCAAGCGUUAAUCGGAAUUACUGGGCGUAAAGCGUGCGCAGGCGGUUUGCUAAGACCGAUGUGAAAUCCCCGGGCUCAACCUGGGAACUGCAUUGGUGACUGGCAGGCUAGAGUAUGGCAGAGGGGGGUAGAAUUCCACGUNUAGCAGUGAAAUGCGUAGAGAUGUGGAGGAAUACCGAUGGCGAAGGCAGCCCCCUGGGCAAUACUGACGCUCAUGCACGAAAGCGUGGGGAGCAAACAGGAUUAGAUACCCUGGUAGUCCACGCCCUAAAACGAUGUCAACUAGUUGUUGGGGAUUCAUUUCCUUAGUAACGUAGCUAACGCGUGAAGUUGACCGCCUGGGGAGUACGGUCGCAAGAUUAAAACUCAAAUGAAUUGACGGGGUCAUAGCUGUUUCCU